AGCUUUGCACUGUGGCAGUAUUGUAGCCAAUGAGGUUUAUCCAAGGUGUGAUUUUGUUAACUGAAAACUUUUCCCAAUACCCCACAAUGCCGACUUGAAAUAUAGUUGGCAAUGGCAAGAAAAAGCAAAUACAGUAGAUAGGGCU